AGCUGAACAUCUUGAUCCUGGAAAUAUUUUCACUCAAUUUUAUCUAUUCAAGAUUGCAGUCAUAGAAGGCAAUUCUGACGGAGCUCUGAAAGCAAUUACCACUUUAGAAAAUUUAUUAACAACUGAAGCAUUAGAAGGGAAUGACCCACUUGCAGAUACAAGUUCACCUGUCAAGAUUUUCAGUCUAGCUGCCCAGCUUGCUCUAGAGGUGUUUGUUUCGUCUUCUUGUUCCAAAAGUUUCUGAAAUGCCAGAAUCUGAAAACAAAAAGAAAGAAAUGGAUAGACUUUUGACUUGCUUGAAUACAG